ACGAACAGUAUUAAUAUUACGAUGUUUAACUGUUAAUUUUGGUACCUAGAUUACAUAUCUAUUUGGUGGUAUAGGUAACGAUAGAGCACACGAUAUAAUACGAUAGGUGUACUAUGUCGAGUGGUCUCUAGCAAAACAACGCACGUUCGACGAAAGUGUAUCAAAUCAAAAGUCGACAAAAGUUCGAAAUAAACAAUUUAGUGCGUAGUACUAUCAUCAGUGAAGAUGUCUGUAUAAAGUGGUUAUUUUAAAUUGUAUUUCGAUGAAGCUUAUUAGGCAUUAUUAGCUUGGUCGACUUGCCGACCAACCCCCAUUGGAUCGACCACUGAUGAAUUUUAGAAAAAACCAUAGCGAUAAUUUGAAUAUUAUUUCAAACUGUAAUAGACAUUGACGAAGUGUAAAACUAAUCUACAAGUAAAAAAUGUUUGAAAUCGAACCAGGUAAAAGAAUGAGUUCUCGAUCACUUCAAAUUUCACGACUUAUCUGUUCAGAAAAAUUCAAUGAAGUUUACUGCGCCAUAUAAUAUUAUUUAUUAAAAAUGUCAUAACAUUUGAUGAUAAUGAAUAAAACAAAACAUACAACAUCAGCACGUUUAUAUUAUGUACAAUCACGGACUAUGUACCUACCUACCUACUUGAAUAUUAUGACAAUAUACAUUAUAUACAUAUUAAAUAAUAAUUAAACUUAAAAACCUUGCACGAUUUCAUACCUAAUUGUGUUAAUCUUAGGGUUUUUACAUAUCGAUCAUAUCUCGAACGACGAGAGCACAACCCCAGGCCAUUAUAAAAUUACCUGCAAUGGAUAUUCCAAUUUUUUCCGGCCAAUAUGAAGAAUGGGCGUCGUUCUACGAUAUAUUUGUAGCGGCAAUACAUACGAAUGAAAGGGUACCGGUUAUACAUACAUUUUAUUAUUUACGGUCGUUUCUUUCUGGCGAAGCAAAGGGGUGCAUAACAUGUUUAACGACAACGGCGGUGAACUACGAGGCUGCGUGGUCCACAUUAAUUGCUUGCUAUAAUAAUCCAAGAAUUUUGAUACAAACUCAUGUUAAAAAUAUUGUUGAUUUAGCGUCAGUGAAAGAUAAGUCGUCCGAAAAUUUACGUAGACUGUCCAAUACGCUAAACAGCAAUAUAAAAGCCCUCGAAACAUUAGGAGAAAACCCGUAUAAUUGGGGUCCAUUAUUAUUACAUAUCGUAUGCGCGAAAUUGGACGGCGAAACUCGAAAAGAUUGGGAAAUACGAGCACCUAAAGAUAAAAUACCAUCGAUAAGUGAGUUAAUCAGAUUUAUUGAAGAGUGGUUCCGAAUAUUAGAAUCAGUCGAGUCCUCACGAAAUAUGAUCAAUAAAGUGGUACCGGCUGUAGUAGGCAAAGGAAAUGCACAAUCAAAGGCGAAUUACAACACGAAGGGUGGUCAAAGGCACUCAGCAAAUUUUGUGUCUACAACAACGUUAAAGUGUUUUAUAUGCAGUUUGGAGCAUACCAUAUACAAAUGUCCGAAAUUUAUCACUCUAUCGAAAGUAGUGAAAAGGACGCCGAAACGGUUAAAAAUAGACAAGAGCCGGGCAUGGAGGGGGCGAGUUCAACGACCGCGCACGCAAAAAGUAAUUACGAGCGCGUAUUGUUAGCCACAGCUGUCGUGCAGGUUAUCAGUCCGUCAGGAAAGCCCUCUCUUGCACGCGUACUAUUGGAUUCUGGUUCAAUGCAAAAUUUUACAUCAACAGUACUAGUAAAUAUUUUAAGUUUAAAACAAAAGAAAACCGAUCAUAUAGUAAGCGGGAUCGGGGAAACAACUCAAAAUAUCACGUCCACGGCGUGGUUAAAAAUAAGAUCAUGUGUGAACGAUUAAAAAUUGAACAUACAGGCGUUAAUGGUAGAUAAAAUUACGGGAAACUUACCGACGAAAUUUAUUUCUGAAAACUGUACUCGACCCGAAAAUAUCAUACUGGCCGAUCCAUGUGCCACAAAGAACUUAUAUACUAAUCGGUGCAGUUCAUUUUUUCGAGAUUAUGGGUAAUUCCUCCGCGUUCCCCACAUUUCGGUGGUUUGUGGGAAGCCGGAAUAAAAUCAAUGAAGCACCUAUUGCGUCGCGUCCUAGGCGAUGCCCAUUUUAUCUAUGAGGAGUUAUUAACUAUACUUACACGUGCCGAGUCUUGUUUAAAUAGCCGUCCUUUAACUCCUAUUUCGUCGGAUCUAAAGGAUCGAAUCGCUCUUACUCCCAGUCACUUCCUUAUAGGAGACUCUCUGACAGCCAUACCCGGAACCGACGAGACACCUUUGCCAAUCAAUCGUUUGAACAGAUGGUGCCGGGUAUCUCAAUACUCUCAAAACUUGUGGAAACGAUGGAGUAGAGAAUACUUGUCGCAACUACAAGAACGAUCCAAGUGGGCGAGUGGAAAAGGUCCAGAAGUGAAGAUCCAUGCUGUGGGUGGUCAUUGGAUUGGUCAUACAAGGAGUCGCGUUGGGCAUGAUCUGCGUACCCACGUUCGUAGAUUCCAUGAAAGCUGCCUUCCAAAGUGGUUUUCCGAACGACAUACACACUUACGG